UGAAUACGAGACGCUAAGGCGUCGAAGUAGUGUAUGUCAUACUUCCAAGAAAAGCUUGCACUGUCAUAGAUAAAAAACGCCUGUACCAUAACCGACACAGGUGGGUAGGUAGAGUAUACUAAGGGGCGCGAGAUAACUCUCUCUAAGGAACUCGGCAAAAUAACUCCGUAACUUCGGGAGAAGGAGUGCCUUAUUCUUAAGGUUGCAAUAACAAGAUCCAAGCAACUGUUUAUCAAAAACACAGGUCUCCGCUAAGUCGUAAGACGACGUAUGGGGGCUGACGCCUGCCCAGUGCCAGAAGGUUAAAGAAGCUGGUUAGCAUUUGCGAAGCUAGUAACUGAAGCCCUGGUGAACGGCGGCCGUAACAAUAACGGUCCUAAGGUAGCGAAAUUCCUUGUCGGGUAAGUUCCGACCCGCACGAAAGGCGUAAUGAUUUGGAUACUGUCUCGGAGAGGGGCUCGGUGAAAUAGACUUGUCUGUGAAGAUGCGGACUACCUGCACCAGGACAGAAAGACCCUAUGAAGCUUUACUGUAACUUGAAAUUGAAAUUGGACUUUAUUCGCGCAGUAUAGGUGGGAGGCGUUGAUUAUAAUCUUGCGGGAUUAUUGGAGCCAUUAGUGAGAUACCACUCUUGUAAUGUUAGAUUUCUAACUUUGAAUCAUUAUCUGGUCAAAGAACAGUUUCAGGCGGGCAGUUUGACUGGGGCGGUCGCCUCCCAAACGGUAACGGAGGCGUACAAAGGUUUCCUCUGAACGGUUAGAAAUCGUAUCUAGAGUGUAAAGGCAUAAGGAAGCUUGACUGUGAGACCUACAAGUCGAGCAGGGACGAAAGUCGGUCUUAGUGAUCUGACGGUACUGAGUGGAAAGGCCGUCACUCAACGGAUAAAAGUUACUCUAAGGAUAACAGGCUGAUCUCCCCCAAGAGUUCACAUCGACGGGGAGGUUUGGCACCUCGAUGUCGGCUCAUCGCAUCCUGGGGCGGUAGUACGUCCCAAGGGUUGGGCUGUUCGCCCAUGAAAGCGGUACGCGAGCUGGGUUCAGAACGUCGUGAGACAGUUCGGUCCAUAUCCGGUGUAGGCGUUAGAAUAUUGAGAGGAGCCUUCUUUAGUACGAGAGGACCGAGAAGGACAUACCUCUGGUGUACCAGUUAUCGUGCCAACGGUAGACGCUGGGUAGCUAUGUAUGGAGUGGAUAACCGCUGUAAGCAUCUAAGUGGGAAGUCCACCUCAAGAUAAG
rnacentral:rRNA from 1 species